CCGGACCUGACUGCUAUCGGAUUGGUACUAAGCCAUGCGAGUCGUUGUAGCAAUACAAGGCGGACGGCUCAGUAACACGUAGUCAACCUAACCUAUGGACGUGGAUAACCUCGGGAAACUGAGAAUAAACCGCGAUAGAUCAUAAUGCCUGGAAUGGCUUAUGGUUCAAACAAUUUAUUGCCGUAGGAUGGGACUGCGGCCUAUCAGCUUGUUGGUGAGGUAAUGGCCCACCAAGGCUAUAACAGGUACGGGCUCUGAGAAGAGAAGCUCGGAGAUGGGUACUGAGACACGGACCCAGGCCCUAUGGGGCGCAGCAGGCGAGAAACCUUAGCAAUGUGCGAAAGCACGACUAGGUUAAUCCGAGUGGUUCCUGCUAAAGGAACCUUUUGUCAGUCGUAAAACCACAGACGAAUAAGGGGUGGGCAAGUCUGGUGUCAGCCGCCGCGGUAAUACCAGCACCUCGAGUGGUCAGGAGGUUUAUUGGGCCUAAAGCAUCCGUAGCCGGCUACGCAAGUCUCCGGUUAAAUCCAACUGCUCAACAGAUGGGCUGCCGGAGAUACUACAUAGCUAGGGAGCGGGAGAGGCAGACGGUAUUCGGUGGGUAGGGGUAAAAUCCACUGAUCCAUCGAGGACCACCAGUGGCGAAGGCGGUCUGCCAGAACGCGUUCGACGGUGAGGGAUGAAAGCUGGGGGAGCAAACCGGAUUAGAUACCCGGGUAGUCCCAGCUGUAAACGAUGCAAACUCGGUGAUGCGUUGGCUUAUGGCCAACGCAGUGCCGCAGGGAAGCCGUUAAGUUUGCCGCCUGGGAAGUACGGACGCAAGUCUGAAACUUAAAGGAAUUGGCGGGGGAGCACCACAAGGGUGAAGCCUGCGGUUCAAUUGGAUUCAACGCCGGG
rnacentral:rRNA from 1 species